rnacentral:tRNA from 1 species
GGUCUUGUAGUCCAGUGGUUAAGACAUAUCCUUGACGAGUUCAAGAUUUUCUUGAAUCUUCCUGAGAACUUGUUCGCAGAAUGGAUAAAAUCCAAGUUCAAUUCUUGGCAGGACCA